UACGAAGGGGGCUAGCGUUGUUCGGAAUUACUGGGCGUAAAGCGCACGUAGGCGGAUACUUAAGUCAGGGGUGAAAUCCCGGGGCUCAACCCCGGAACUGCCUUUGAUACUGGGUAUCUCGAGUCCGGAAGAGGUGAGUGGAAUUCCGAGUGUAGAGGUGAAAUUCGUAGAUAUUCGGAGGAACACCAGUGGCGAAGGCGGCUCACUGGACCGGUACUGACGCUGAUGCGCGAAAGCGUGGGGAGCAAACGGG
rnacentral:rRNA from 1 species